UGGCAAGUCACAUGAUCUUACAAAUUAAAAAACUAUUGACUACAACAAUUAUCCUUAGAUAAUCCUAUGGGUUGUGCAAACCAAAGAAGGUUGCGCAAAGUUGUGCUAAUGGGACAAAGAAACACAGAUAAAAUUGAAAAUAAAGCAGUCCAAGCUAUUAUUUCAGAUGGAUGAGUAGUUUCUUUUAUGAUUGACAUAUAUCAAAAGCAUUAUGACUACAAAGUACAAAAUGGAGAAGAUUUAAAGCCUGUUCCAUCUCAUAAUAUUAACAUAUAGUACACCAAGUAGAACCCAGGCUACCAAAAAUAAAUACAUAGAAAAUCCCAAACCAAAACAGCAGCAACACACAUCACUUGACAAUUUAACUAAAAUCAACAAG
rnacentral:misc_RNA from 1 species